CCUACGGGGGGCAGCAGUGGGGAAUAUUGGACAAUGGGCGAAAGCCUGAUCCAGCCAUGCCGCGUGUGUGAAGAAGGCCUUCGGGUUGUAAAGCACUUUCAGUGGGGAAGAAAGCCUUGGGGCUAAUACCCUCGAGGAAGGACAUCACCCACAGAAGAAGCACCGGCUAACUCCGUGCCAGCAGCCGCGGUAAUACGGAGGGUGCGGGCGUUAAUCGGAAUUACUGGGCGUAAAGCGCGCGUAGGCGGUCUGAUAAGCCGGUUGUGAAAGCCCCGGGCUCAACCUGGGAACGGCAUCCGGAACUGUCAGGCUAGAGUGCAGGAGAGGAAGGUAGAAUUCCCGGUGUAGCGGUGAAAUGCGUAGAGAUCGGGAGGAAUACCAGUGGCGAAGGCGGCCUUCUGGACUGACACUGACGCUGAGGUGCGAAAGCGUGGGUAGCAAACAGGAUUAGAUACCCCUGUAGUC
rnacentral:rRNA from 1 species